rnacentral:sRNA from 1 species
CUAAAUCUAGUGAAUUAAUAGAAAGAAAAA